rnacentral:ncRNA from 1 species
AGUAAAAUAACGUUAAAAGAUAACGCAGGUGUCCUAAGAUGAACUCAACGAGAACGGAAAUCUUGUGUGGAACAGAAGGGUAAAAGCUCGUUUGAUUCUGAUUUCCAGUACGAAUACGAAUCGUGACAAGUGG